GAAACCCAACCGGAUGGAGUGUUGUUAUUAUCGCUGCUGGACGGUGAUAAAUGGUGGCCCGUAUGGGGAACCCCCUUUCUUCGUUUCUAACAGUGCACUGAGGUCCCUUGCAGAAUCUUUAGAAGCCCAGCCCAGGCAAGAGAGCUCUCCUUGAGGUGACCGCCUGGAGCGUCUAUACUGCAGGAAGGGCUGCUUUAGAAAAUGAGAAGGAUAGCAAUCAGGAUCUGGAGUCAGCAAACUGGAAUGGACGGGGCAAAUCAGGCCCCCUGCACCCCGAUACACACACUUCCAUCAGGACACGUUGCUCUCACUCCUCGUGCGUGCGAUGUCUAUGACACUUUCCGUGCUCCAAGGGCAGAAUCAGGAAUAACCUCUUUGAAGACCGGGGUGUGAGCUGGCUUGUUCACCACAAUAUCCCCCAGUGCCCAGAACUUUAAAGGGGCUCAAGAACAUUUGUUUAGUAAAGAAUACCAUGUGGCUAACCUAACAAGAUGCAAACGGAGAUAUUAAGAUUGAAGACAGAUGCUGCUCCUACCGUCGGCGGGGAUGGAGGGCAGUUGAAGAACCAAUGUGAAGGGAACUUCUAGAGACUGGGAGGAAGUCUAACACCUUUCCUCUGUUGAGUGACUGUUACCCAUGAGACCCUAGGGCUACACACGUGAACAGACCACCAUGGUCCCUGUCCUCAUAGUGCUGGUGUUGUAGCACGUUGUUUAAACCCUCCAUCCCCAUUUUAGGAUAGGGCAUGGGGAAGCCUUUUUUUUUUUCCUCUAUUUUUUUUUCUUUAUGUAAAGGGCCAGAUAGUAAGUAUUUUAUGCUCUGCAGGUUUGCGAUUUGUGUCACAAAUACUCAACUCUGCUGGUGUAGUGCAAAAGCCAUCACAAAUGGCACAACAUCAUGGCUAUGUUCAAAUAAAACCUUAUUU